rnacentral:snRNA from 1 species
GUGCUGGUUUCUGCAGCACAUGUACUAGAGCAACACAGAGAAGAUUACUGUGCCCUCUACAUAAGGAUGACACACAAAUCUAUGAGGCAUUCCAUAUUUUU